GACGAACGCUGGCGGCGUGCUUAACACAUGCAAGUCGAACGGAAAGGCCCUGCUUUUGUGGGGUGCUCGAGUGGCGAACGGGUGAGUAACACGUGAGUAACCUGCCCUUGACUUUGGGAUAACUUCAGGAAACUGGGGCUAAUACCGGAUAGGAGCUCCUGCUGCAUGGUGGGGGUUGGAAAGUUUCGGCGGUUGGGGAUGGACUCGCGGCUUAUCAGCUUGUUGGUGGGGUAGUGGCUUACCAAGGCUUUGACGGGUAGCCGGCCUGAGAGGGUGACCGGCCACAUUGGGACUGAGAUACGGCCCAGACUCCUACGGGAGGCAGCAGUGGAGAAUAUUGCACAAUGGGCGGAAGCCUGAUGCAGCCACGCCGCGUGCGGGAUGACGGCCUUCGGGUUGUAAACCGCUUUCGCCUGUGACGAAGCGUGAGUGACGGUAAUGGGUAAAGAAGCACCGGCUAACUACGUG
rnacentral:rRNA from 1 species